rnacentral:sRNA from 1 species
AGGAUAAAAAAAACCCGGAACCAAUCCAGAUUGUUCCGGGUAUAGGGGAAUGGCUCAAAGGUUGAGCCGUGCGCUAACUCAUGACAAAAACACUGCAUUAGGUCGCAUAAAAUUCAUUCGGUAAACUUCAGUUUAGACAAUAUCAAAGGGAUGUCUAAUUU